rnacentral:rRNA from 1 species
AGUGAACGCUGGCGGUAGGCCUAACACAUGCCAGUCGAACGGCAGCACAGUAAGAGCUUGCUCUUACGGGUGGCGAGUGGCGGACGGGUGAGGAAUACAUCGGAAUCUACUUUUUCGUGGGGGAUAACGUAGUGAAACUUACGCUAAUACCGCAUACGACCUACGGGUGAAAGCAGGGGAUCUUCGGACCUUGCGCGAUUGAAUGGGCCGAUGUCGGAUUAGCUAGUUGGCGGGGUAAAGGCCCACCAAGGCGACGAUCCGUAGCUGGUCUGAGAGGAUGAUCAGCCACACUGGAACUGAGACACGGUCCAGACUCCUACGGGAGGCAGCAGUGGGGAAUAUUGGACAAUGGGCGCAAGCCUGAUCCAGCCAUACCGCGUGGGUGAAGAAGGCCUUCGGGUUGUAAAGCCCUUUUGUUGGGAAAGAAAAGCAGCAGGUUAAUACCCCGCUGUUCUGACGGUACCCAAAGAAUAAGCACCGGCUAACUUCGUG